AACUUCUCUGAAAAUUCAUGGAAAGUAUUCCUUUUGUUAUAAAAUAUCUCUUUGAAAUGUACAGUAAUUCUGAAUAGUAUUUACCAAUGGAGUUGCUUAUCUUAUCAUCCUUUUCUGACAAAAAAGAACAAAAACAAUAACUUGUAGAUUAAACUUGUUUCCUGAGGAAGAGGCGCCAUCCUUCCUGUGACUGUGUGCUUGAAGUUCAGUUUAAAAAACUCUUCAGUAUUGGAAAGAGCUUGCUUGGGGUUUAGAGUUGGGCCUGUGUGGUUUGCAUGCUGCGUUGUCUACUCGUGAGCUAUGUCAGCUUGAUCAACUGUUUUGGGCUCUGUAAACCUCAGCUUCCUCAUCUGCAAAAUGGUUAUAAAUGCUGAAAUUUCACAGGUGUAAGCGCUCUUACUUUUCUUCUUACCUUCAAAACCUAGCAAGGCCGUGAAUGCAGAGAAUAUGGAGCUGCGGUGGUUGUGUUCCAGGUUCCCAGAAGCAGUGUUCAUCUAUGAGAACCAGCAGAAGGAGGAGGAGAUGCCCCAAUAUGCAAGGUGGGCCUCACCGGUGAGUGUUUUUCUCACCCGGGGGGAGGCUGCCGUUCACAUCGACAAGGUCCAGGUUUCUGAUGAUGGGGUGUACACCUGUUCCUUUAAAAAGGGAGACUACUAUGAAGAGGCCACUUUGGAGGUGAAGGUGGCAGGUUGUUGACUUGGUCUAUAAAUUCUAGAGUCCUGGAGUAUUGGAGUUGGGAGCAACCUCAGGGAGAGUUUAAUUUAUCGUCUCAUUUUAUAGAUGCCAAAAAGGAGACUCAUUCAUUCAUCUAUUCAAUGUAAAUAAUUUAGAGCCCCUACUAUGUGCCAAGCCCUGUAGUAGGCACCUAGAAUACAUCAGUAAACCAAAUAGAGUUUCUUGCUCUUUGGAGUUCAUAUUCUAAAUGCAGAGAUAGAAAAAUCACAAUAAAUAAGUAGGUUAUAGAUGAUGUUAGAAGGUGGCAAGUUGUGAGGAUUAAAGACAAAGUAGAACAGAGGAAGGGGAUCAGGAUGUUGACUUGGGGACUAGAAUGCAGACUGAAUUGGGCCUUAUCGAGAAUAUGCUGUCUGUGCAAAGGGCUGAAGAAGGUAGGGAUUUAGCUAAGUGCACAUAGGGUCGCUAUGAGUCGAAAUCGACUCGACGGCACUGGGUUUUUUUCUGGGUAUAUCUGGGGGAUAAGAAUUGCAAGAAAAGGAAGAGCCAAUGCAAAGUCCCUGAGGUGGGUGUGUGGCUGGUAUGUUCGGGACACACAAGGAGGCCUUAUAGCUGGUGGGAGUGAAUGAGGGUCAGGGUGGUGAGAGGUGUCAAUACUGGACAAAAAGUUAUUUCGAGUACUAUUUGCACAGAGGUACUAUUUGAGCUAGGACUGCUUUAGCUGUAAAGACUGAGGUGACGAGGCAACGUUCCAUGAGUCUCAUCAUCCUACAGGCAAGCCUGAGCAUGUACCUCCCAUGGAAAUAGCAGAGGGCCCAAUGGUGCAAGCAGUUUUCAAAUCUUUGCUUGUGUCACAUUUGUUAAUUUGUCACUAGCCAAAUCAAGUUACAUGCCCUAUCCCCAAGAGUCAGAGUGAGAGGGCACUACAAAGUGAUGUGCAAAUGGUGACAUGAAUAUAAAGAAGUUGAAGUCCCUGGGCUAUACUUGUAAUCAAUCUACCACAGAUAGGGCAAAAUGAUGAAUUCUCUUGUGGAAUUUUGAGUUUGAAGUGUACAUGAGGAAUCUUCAUAAAGAUAACUCAUAGGGAUGUGGAUAAAAAGGAGGGGAAUUUGGAGACAGAGAUGCUUAAUUCAUUUAAUUUUGGAAGUGAUUUAAUGAGAAGCAGUUGGAACAAAAAGAAGCCAGGGAGAAUGUGUGACAUGAGAAGAGUGGAGAUUCAAGGACCAAACCUGAGACGACUACUGCCUUUAAAGAGUUGGCGGCAGGGGAGGAAGAAAAGUCCAGGAAGGAGGCUUAGGAGAGUAGUGUGAGAGGUGACAAACCAAGCAGAAGGGAAGGUUGACCAAGCCAAAUGGAGCUGGUUUCAAGACGGAGUCAAGAGUACCUCAUGCUGAAGUGAGACUGAGGAAGAAGAGCUGCAGGGUGACUUCUGGGAUGCCAAGUAAGAGAUUUUUUUAAGUCACCAAGAGUAAACUCAAUGGAAUAGUAGGAGAAGUCAGACUGUUGGGGGUUGAGAAGUAUGUGAGAGGUGAGAACAUAGAGGUGUUCAUGGAUUAUAAAGCUUACUCUUCUAAGAAAGUGUCUUGGUUAUCUUGUGGUGCUUUAACAAAGAGCAUAAGUGGAUGAGUUAAACAAAGAGAAAUUUAUUCUCUCACAGUCUAGUAGGCUAGAAGUCCAAAUUCAGGGCAUCGGCUCCAGAGGAAGGCUUUCUCUCUCUGUUGGCUCUUGAGGAUGGUCCUUGUCAUCAAUCUUUCCCUGGUCUAGGAGCUUCUCCUUGCUGGAAGCCCAAGUCCAAAGGAUGCACUCUCCUCCUGGUGCUGCCUUCUUGGUGGUAUGAGGUUCCUACGUCUCUCUGCUUGCUUCUCUCUUGUAUUUCUCAGAAGAGAUUGGCUUAAAACACAACCUAAUCCUCAUUAACGUAACUGCCACUAAUUUCAUCUCAUUAACAUUAUAGAGGUAGAAUUUACAACACAUAGGAAAAUCACAUUAGAUCACGAGAUAGUGGAGAAUCACACAAUACUGGGAAUUAUGGCCUAACCAAAUUAAUGCACAUUUUUUGGAGCACAAUUCAAUGCAUGACAGAAGGGGGGAAGACUGCAAAAAAUUGAACACGUUUACGUGUUCAGGAAAAGAAGCAGGUGGAGAGGAAGACAUUAACAACUAGCGUUGGGCAAGGUGGAGUGGGAGCCCUGGUGGGCAGUCUAAUGACACCCAGUUGCUAACAGAAAGUUCUGCAUUUUGGUUGCACCACCUCCUCCGCAGGAGAAAGAUGUGGCCGUCAGCUUCCAUGAAGAUUGAUAUAGCCUUGGAAUCCCUAUGGGGAAGUUCUACUCUGUCGUUUAGAGUUGCUAUGAUUCGGAACCAAGUGAAUGGCAGUGGGUAGGGAGGCGAGAGUUGAGAGAGAGGUGAGAAGAAGAGAGGAGAGGAAAGGGAGAUGAUGAUUGAUGGGACCAGGCCUUAGAAGAGAUGGUGACGUUUGGUUUCCAGAGCUCAGGGGAACAAUUAUCCUUGAGUGAAGGAGAUUUUCUCUCACUUUGUGACAGGAAGAUGAAAGUAAGAUCAGUUUGGAUGAAGAAGAGCUUGUGGGUAAUUAACGCAAAACAAAAAAACAAAACCCAUGAAUCUCUUAAUUUCAAAUAUUCCCUGCUUCCUAGAGUAAGUCCAACAAAGACUUAAUUUCAACAAAAGUUAUGAUCUAGUUUAACUUUUGUCCUUGAAAAGUUUUUGUAAUGACUCCAUUUUCUUUCUCCUGGCCUGGUCUGGCGAUUUAUGGUUUGUUUUAUGUUUCCUGGGCUGCAUUUCAAGAAAAGGGGUUUGAAAAAUUCUUUUUCUUUUUUCUCUGGGCCUCAGUCUUUCUACCUGUGUGGCUAGAAAGAACAGAACCCCCCUUCAGAGCUCCUAAAUAGUCCAUAUGCUCCUUCCUUAGUUUCCACUAGGGGGUGGCCUUUCCAUAGAACCUUCAGAUUGUUCCCUUCAUGUCAUGCUGCCAGGGUCCCGGGACUGCACUUGGGACAAGGCGGUCUCCUGGGCUCCACAGCUUCCUUCCCACAGUUGUGGGCUGUGGCCCUCAAGUGCUCAUGGAAGGGCAGGAGGAAGAUGGGGUUCACGUGGCCUGCAGGGCUUCCGGGUGGUUUCCGAAGCCCCAGGUUCAGUGGAGAGACCUUAGUGAGAGAAAUUGCUGACUUCCUCUGAGGCCCAUGCCCAAGACGCUGACGGUCUGUUUCGCCUGGAGGUCUCGCUGGUGGUGAGAGACAGCUCUGUGGGGAACGUGACCUGCUCCAUCCUCAACCCUAUCCUGGGCCAGGAGAAGGUGAAGGCCAUUUUCAUCCCAGAGUCCUUCUUCCCCCAGGCCUCUUCCUGGAAGCCAGCUUUUGCCGUGAGCCUGAUGGUCCUGGUGGUCCUCAUCUUUGGGGCUGGCUAUUUUCUCAAGAAAGAAUAUUUAACACAGGUGCAGACACUGAAGGCCAGAGAUGAACUCCAGGCAGAGCUGGGCAAGCUCUUCUCUCCCUCCUGAACUCUCAGUGUCCUGUUUGGGGAAGACUUGUGGUCCUUAGGUCACCUCAUGUCCUGUAUGUUGCCUUUCAGACCAGAGGGAGAAGGUUUACAAGGCUGACAUAAUAUCAGGAGGGACCAGUCCCUGGAGAAGGACAUCAUGCUUGGUAAAGUAGGGGCUCAGUGGAAAAAAGGAAGACGCUCAACUAGAUGGAUUGACACAAUGGCUGCAACAACGGGCUCAAGCACAACAACGAUUGUGAGGAUGUCACAGGACUGGGCAGUGUUUUGUUCUGUUGUAUGCAGGGUCACUAUGAGUUGGAAGUGACUCGAUGGCAUCUAACAACAACAACUAGUUAAUAAUUCUUUAAUAUACUUUUUCCCAGUUCAAAUGAGAGUGGUUUCUGUCUUCGGACUGGGCUCUGAAGGAUAUAAGCCUCUAUACCAGACUGUACCUGAGACGAGGGCACUGAACUUCUCCCAGUAAAUGGAAAUUUGUAUGUGAGGCACUGCAAAUGUUUCUAAUGGUUCACUGAAACAAUAAAGUCAUAGGUAGUAUACUGUUAUUAUUAUUAUUAUUCUUUAACCUUUUUAAAAAUUUGAUGGAAACUUGGGCUUGGACAAAUUUGUACUAGCAGCCUCACACAUAAGAAUUUCUGUCUCUUUCAAUAUUUUUGCUAUAUCAAAUAUUUUUGUUGACAUGUAGUUUUAAUUUAUGUAUGUGCUCAACUGUUCUAAGUGGAUAUUCAACAGACCCUCUGUUUUCUUUUAUUGAUAAGCUUAAAAUUUAAUUAUGUUUGUAUACUCUGCCUUUUCUUUUUAUUUAUACCUUGUCUUUUAUAUGACUUAAUUGUGUAAUAAAAUUAAUGACCAACUGAAACUUUAAAGCAAAGGAAAACAAAUGCUUUGUUUUGCUCUGUUUCCUUCUCUCCCACCAUUUUCUGUAUCAAUAUAAAUUUCUAACCUGUCCUUGUUUUCGGGAGCACAUUUCCUUAUUAUAAGAAAGAUGCUGCCCAUCAUGGAUCUAUAAACCAAAUAAA